rnacentral:rRNA from 1 species
AGUGAACGCUGGCGGCAGGCCUAACACAUGCAAGUCGAACGGCAGCACAGGAGAGCUUGCUCUCUGGGUGGCGAGUGGCGGACGGGUGAGGAAUAUAUCGGAAUCUACCCUUUCGUGGGGGAUAACGUAGGGAAACUUACGCUAAUACCGCAUACGAACUGAGGUUGAAAGCGGCGGACCGCAAGGCGUCGCGCGGAUGGAUGAGCCGAUAUCCGAUUAGCUAGUUGGCGGGGUAAAGGCCCACCAAGGCGACGAUCGGUAGCUGGUCUGAGAGGAUGAUCAGCCACACUGGAACUGAGACACGGUCCAGACUCCUACGGGAGGCAG